rnacentral:rRNA from 1 species
GACGAACGCUGGCGGCGCGCCUAACACAUGCAAGUCGAACGGAGCUGAGAGAAGCUUGCUUUUCUUAGCUUAGCGGCGAACGGGUGAGUAACGCGUGAGUAACCUGCCCUGGAGUGGGGGACAACAGUGGGAAACGACUGCUAAUACCGCAUAAGCCCACGAUCCGGCAUCGGAUUGAGGGAAAAGGAUUUAUUCGCUUCAGGAGGGACUCGAUCCCAAUUGGCAGGUGGGUGGGGUAAGGGCCAACCAAGGCGACGAUUGGUAGCCUGCCGGUGAGGUGGGGCCGACACAUUGGCACUGGGACGCGGUCCAGACUCCUGCGCGAGGCAGCCGUGGGGGAUAUUGCAAAACGGGGGAAGCCAUGAUGCACCGACGCCGCGUAGAGGCUGAUGGUGUUCAGAUUGUAAACUCCUGUCGUUAGGGGCGGUUAUGACGGUACCUAACAAGAAAGCACCGGCUAACUACGUG